UACGGAGGGUGCGAGCGUUGUCCGGAAUCACUGGGCGUAAAGGGCACGUAGGCGGCCUGAUAAGUAGGGGGUGAAAUCCUGCGGCUUAACCGCAGGGCUGCCUUCUAAACUGUCAGGCUUGAGCACAGUAGAGGCAGGUGGAAUUCCCGGUGUAGCGGUGGAAUGCGUAGAGAUCGGGAAGAACAUCAGUGGCGAAGGCGGCCUGCUGGGCUGUUGCUGACGCUGAGGCGCGACAGCGUGGGGAGCAAACAGG
rnacentral:rRNA from 1 species